GAAAACAAGAGAAACUUAAAUUAAAGACAGUUUCCAUGAAUUCUCGAAAUUGAACGCUUUGAGUAAUGGAGCGUAUAAUUAAAUUAAAUAUUGUUCCUUCGAUGUUUGGCAUUCGUUAUACCAAAUUAUUUGACAAAAUAAGAACUCGUACGCCGGUGUAUGUUUUUUUUUUAAACUGAUUUUACGUCGUGUAUUCAGUCUUAGUUUUCUAUAGAGAACGAGUCGAGCAGGAAAUAAUUUAUUAGUUAAUGACGCAUUUUAUGUUAUCUUUGUCAUAUGGAUAGGAUACACAUUGUCUCACAUUCACUUUACAUCAGUAGAGUUAGUGUCACAGGAAGAAGAAGCACAGGUAGAGGAACCAAGAGGUGGAUAAGAGAUGGCUAAGUAGAUAAGCAUAAGCAUCAGCACCACCGGAAUUCCCAUCAGAAACAUUGGCGGCGGUGGAAGCGGCG
rnacentral:lncRNA from 1 species